rnacentral:rRNA from 1 species
UACAGAGGGGGCAAGCGUUAUUCGGAAUUAUUGGGCGUAAAGGGCGCGUAGGCGGCCUGGCAAGUGGAAGGUGAAAUCCCUCGGCUUAACCGAGGAACUGCCUUCCAAACUGCUUGGCUUGAGUCCGGGAGAGGUGAGUGGAAUUCCCAGUGUAGCGGUGAAACGCGUAGAUAUUGGGAGGAACACCAGUGGCGAAGGCGGCUCACUGGACCGGAACUGACGCUGAUGCGCGAAAGCGUGGGGAGCGAACGGG